rnacentral:lncRNA from 1 species
CCUGCCUUGUGGGGGCUGCUGACUCCAGGUCUGUUCUCAGAGCAAUGGGUCACAGAGACUGAGCUGCCGCCAUGAUCGGAGGCUUAUUCAUCUAUAAUCACAAGGGGGAGGUGCUUAUCUCCCGAGUCUACAGAGAUGACAUCGGGCUGCGCUCUGUGGGUCAUGCUGCCUUUGUAGUUCAUCCGGGUGGACCUGGGUAGCGCCUAAGACCUCAGGUCUUACAAAGAGUCACUGCAGCCUCACUUCUCUCUCUGCUUCACGCUCUGGCCUCCUCCACUGUAUAACCUGAGGAGGAAUGCAGUGGAUGCCUUUCGCGUCAAUGUCAUUCACGCACGGCAGCAGGUGCGCAGCCCUGUCACAAACAUCGCUCGCACCAGCUUCUUCCAUGUUAAGCGGUCCAACAUCUGGCUGGCAGCAGUCACCAAGCAGAAUGUCAAUGCCGCCAUGGUC